rnacentral:rRNA from 1 species
ACGGAAGGCCGCAGUGGGGAAUAUUGGGCAAUGGGCGAAAGCCUGACCCAGCAACGCCGCGUGAAGGAAGAAGGCCUUCGGGUUGUAAACUUCUUUUACCAGGGACGAAGGACGUGACGGUACCUGGAGAAAAAGCAACGGCUAACUACGUGCCAGCAGCCGCGUUAAUACGUAGGUUGCAAGCGUUGUCCGGAUUUACUGGGUGUAAAGGGCGUGUAGGCGGAGCUGCAAGUCAGAUGUGAAAUCCCGGGGCUCAACCCCGGAACUGCAUUUGAAACUGUAGCACUUGAGUAUCGGAGAGGCAAGCGGAAUUCCUAGUGUAGCGGUGAAAUGCGUAGAUAUUAGGAGGAACACCAGUGGCGAAGGCGGCUUGCUGGACUGUUACUGACACUGAGGCACGAAAGCGUGGGGAGCAAACAGGAUUAGAUACCCUGGUA